CUACCUCCAGAACCUGAUGGUUUCAAUUACGGUCGUGAGGCAGCAAUCAACAUUCCUCUGGAUACAGCUUCAGGAGGAUCAUCUCAGGAUUUGAAAAAGAAAGAGAAUGAACUCCAAGCUAAGGAGGCUGAACUGAAUAGGCGGGAGCAGGAAGUGAGACGAAAAGAAGAGGCAGCAACAAGAGGUACCUUUCAUUAUAAUAUGACUAUUCACAUUGAAAACAUUUAGUUUUGUUCAUUGUUUCAAGUUUUGUUGAACAUAACAUUUUUUUGCAAUUUUUUUUUGACUUGAUUCUUUUUUCUACCGUGAGCUAGAUUUUGACUUCUCCAUUUUGCA